GGAGGCGUCGCCUAGCCCGGUUUAUGGCGCCCGCCUGCUAAGCGGGUUUGGGUUAAUCCCCAUCGCGAGUUCAAAUCUCGCCGCCUCCGCCA
rnacentral:tRNA from 2 species